rnacentral:tRNA from 1 species
UCCGGAGUAGCUCAGUUGGUAGAGCAGGUGGCUGUUAACCACUUUGUCGGGGGUUCGA